CUCCAUCCCAUCUCGGCUCACUCUUUCAGCCACACAAAAUCCCCAUUUUCUCUCUCCACCUCUCGUUUGCUUCCCCGAAACCCAAAAUCCCUAGAAUCUCUCUCAAUUAAAUUCUCUUCGGAAAUCAUGUUCAGAUCCAAUCCCCGGAACCGGAAUGCUUCUCUUCCAAAGACAAUGGUUUCAAUUUGGGCGUUUAGUGUUCUUUUACCUUUGGGGUUUGUCUGAUGUCUCACAUUUUGUUCAUGAUUUUUCUUCUUGCAGAUUGAUAUUGGUUCCUCCUGCAGACUGUGAAACAGAUAAACCCUAAAUCAUUAUGUCCCAACAGGGGAGACGCAAACCCCUAUCUCCUUCUCCGGGCGUAUGCGGUUCCACGUCAGUGCUCAUAAGCCAAACCACAGUGAAAACCUGCUCUAGUAUAUCACUCCUGACGGCUGGUUCGCUCUCUCCGGCUCCAAUGACGGUGAGCUUCGUCUCCUAAAGAUGGAAGCUUUCACCGAAUCUUGGGUUUCUUCUUCAAUCCAAGAAAAACCCAAAGGAGGAGGUAUCGGUAUCGACAGUAGCGAUGGUGUGGCAAAGGGAAAACUGGUGGAAAGGAAGGCUUUAUUGGCAAGUAUGGACAAUCACUCAUAUAUAUUUGACUACAACACGACAAAUUUGUUGUUCUCCACAGAGCUUACUGCCCUCCAUGUCUCAACAAGCUUCUCUUCACCACCAAGAAUCCAUUCUCGUUUGCUUUCGACUCCUUGUUCAUUCUAUGCACUUCUCUAGCUCUGGCUUUGUCCCUGUUCGUCGCCCAUGUUGACUCGACCUCUGCUUUAGGCUAGGUUGAAUUGUUCUAGUGAUGCCGAUUGAAAUUACUCGUGAAUACAUAUUUGAGAUGAGUUUAGAUUAUGUAGUUUUGAUAUGGGCUUGGAUUAUGCUAAGGGAAUCAAUGGAAUUAGGAGUAUAGAUGGAUAUGGGAUUGAGCAAAAUGAAGCUGAAAGGGUAUUGCAUUUGGCACCAAUAGGAAACUCUUGGGUUCUUCAGCUAAGGAAGUCAAAAGAACUAGUGGAGUCACUGAAAGCAUAGCUUGUGCCCUAUCAAAGUGGAAGAAGGGAAGGCUUCUUGGAAGGGGGACUUUGGUCAUGUUUAUGUUGGAUUUAACAUGUAAGUUUUGUUUCUAUGCGGAUCAUGUAGUGUUUGAUUGAUGGUGUACAUAUAAAUCAUAUCUGGCUGGUUUCAUUUAGUGUUUCUAUGCGGAUCAUGUAGUGUUUAAUAUAAUACAAAAAUCAUAUCUGGCUGGUUUCAUGGUGUACAUAUAAAUCAACAUAGUUUUGGUUUUUUUUUUUCUCUCUCUCUCUCUAUAUUGUUACACCCCGGCAGUAGCUGGGUCUGGUAUUCCAGAAAUCAAGGUGUGUUUAUAUGGUGAGAUGGACUUGCAGUGCAUUUAUUUUAGAGUUUAUCGGCGAAGUUUCUUCCUAACUGUUAUUCAAAUGUUCAGGGGUCGUAAUUCAUGGUGCCCUACUUUUCAUAACAUUGAUUGGAAAUGUGUGGUGAACUUAUUUAGUAUUCUGUAUUUUUUUUUUUGGAAGAGUGAACAAUGCUUUAGAUUAUAAUCGUCUUCUGGUAACUGCUCAGAUAUUUGUGAACCUUGGUUCAGUGGGGGGUGAUCUAGCUUUACGCAGAGAAGGUCAUCUUGAUAAGGUGGGCUGAGUCUUUC